UGGGGAAUUUUGGACAAUGGACGCAAGUCUGAUCCAGCCAUGCCGCGUGCGGGAAGAAGGCCUUCGGGUUGUAAACCGCUUUUGUCAGGGAAGAAACGAGUUUCUCUAAUACAGAGACUUAAUGACGGUACCUGAAGAAUAAGCACCGGCUAACUACGUGCCAGCAGCCGCGGUAAUACGUAGGGUGCAAGCGUUAGUCGGAAUUACUGGGCGUAAAGCGUGCGCAGGCGGUUAUAUAAGACAGAUGUGAAAUCCCCGGGCUCAACCUGGGAACUGCAUUUGUGACUGUAUAGCAAGAGUACGGCAGAGGGGGAUGGAAUUCCGCGUGUAGCAGUGAAAUGCGUAGAUAUGCGGAGGAACACCGAUGGCGAAGGCAAUCCCCUGGACCUGUACUGACGCUCAUGCACGAAAGCGUGGGGAGCAAACA
rnacentral:rRNA from 1 species